rnacentral:misc_RNA from 1 species
UCAUUUCUUUCUUUCCUUUUGACCAACUUUUAUUCUCACGACCUUCUUUCGCUCGUUUGUAAAAGAACACGAAAUCAUCUUUCGUUGUCCAUCACUUAAGAACAAUAGACACACGCACGCACACACACACACACCUACAAACACACACACACACACCUACAAACACACACAAACACACACACGCACACAUUAAUGUGUUAAUUUACAUAAACAUAUUUUGACAAUUACACACGCACACGCGCGCGCGCGCAGAGUUGUCAUCUCGCCCUAGGUUGGUUGGUCCUGAUCCAGACAGGCGUAUGAUCAAAAGCCACUCCAGUCUCUUUCUACCGGGACAUCAAGGACUACAACAUCCAACGUGUCCUCCCUUUUUUAAGACUGUGGAGCUUAAUUUGAGGGUUUUUCAAAAUUUUUGGGACGUGCUGACCAAACAAUGCCUCGCCAUACCAAAUGGUGGCAUGUCUGAUGUGAGCAAUGGCCGUUUCUACUUCAGUGUACCUCCACCACCUCCACCACAACCUCCACCGCAACCAACAGACCGGAACCUCCGUGUCUUGUCCCAACUCUGUAUGCAGGCUGCUACCCCGAUGACAUCAUCAAGAUCAGCAAUAAUGCCGGUGACAACUGUCACCUUUCCGGAUGAGGACAGCCGCUCCCUUGGAUAUAAAGCUUACCACACAUUAAUCAAUGGACGUAGUUGUAAUGGUUCAGAUUCAUCUCAGCCACGACCCGUGUGCCUCUCCUUUGGACAUUCAGUUGAAGGGGUGUUACAAAAGGGACCCCAGUGUGGCUUUGCGGCCCUCUACAUGGGUGCACGUCUUUGGAAGAUGGACAGUUUUUCACUUGAUCGACUGGUCAACAUUGGUCAGCAGAAAGGAUACACCAUUCAAGGAGAACUGUUUUCAGCUUACUUUAUGGAAGACCUCGCUCGAGAAUUCUGCUACUCCCAAGUGGUUGACACGGCUAAACUUUGUCUCAACGUCAUCUGGGAAUGUCUCCUGCAGGGAUAUCUCAUACUUGUGCCUUAUGAUUCUGACAAAAACUACCAACCGUGUCUGAAGAGGGGACAUAAGGCCCACUGGUCACUUCUCACAGGUUGUUUCAUAGUUUUGAAACAUUCCUGCAAGCCGUUUCUGCAGAAUUGUUUCGAGCAAGAUUUAGAUGAGCCGUCGUUGUUUCACACAGACAUCGACGAAGAUCAUAUCGAUCCAGAAGUACGGAAGAAUCUAGUUAAUAACAUUGAAGAAAUAUUUGUUUAUACAAUGCAGGGUAAGAGUCGAAGGCCUGGAAUAUGGUCCCUUAGGGAUCUUUUUGCCAGCAACCAGAACCUUUAAUAAGCCAACUUCGAAACAAAUACUUUUUCUCCCCGAAGCAGGACGAAAUUCAAGAAGUGACAUACCAAGCUAAAUAUGGGCAACAGGUCACGUGAUUUAACAAGAGCAGUGACGUCAUCAAUGGGCGAUUAUUUCAGAAUGGGCUAUUCUUCUAUCAUGUCUGUCUUUAUUGAUCUUAAAAUUCUUCACUGAUAUUUUGACAUGAAAUACAGAAACCUUUAAUAUUUCAGAUAACCUAUUCAAAAAUAACAAUGCCACACAUUUUGAUAUUUUUCCUGACUAUCUCCGUAGCAAAAUCAGCCAUAACUACAGUCUUAUGAAACGGAAGAAGUAGAAGUGGAACCGCGAAGCAAAUGGAAAAGAUAUUCCGCUUACAUCGCCAUCAGUGGCAGUGUCCUAUUAUUGACUGUCGUCAUCUACGGUCUUUGGAGAAACGUAUUAUGUAGUCUGUCCAUCCUCUUAUGUCCUUGCAUUGCCAUCGCCUUUCCUUGUUUGUACUUUUAUUUCAAAAGUUUCGAUCCGGUGAAGCUAAUGAAAUUGGACCCUAAUAAAUAUAUACCCGGACUAAUCAUUAGAGAUGAUUGCGUAAGGAUACAAUACAGUCCGACGCCGGAGGAGAUGUACUGGUUGGCAGACGUGAUCGACAAGAUCGAAACAGCUUAGAUCUCUCGCUUUCCUGUUGCUUUAUUAUUUGGCCGGGCUACGCUUAGGGUUUGAAGAAAGUAUGCGCAUCAAGUAUCGCUUGUGAAAAUAUAGUUUGACUCAGUUUUAUGCACAAGCGCACCGUCUUACAUACAUAGUCUCUCUCUCUUUCUCUCCCCCUCUGUCUGCUUGUCUGUCUGUCUUUGUGUCUGUCUGUCUGUCUGUCUCUCUCUCUCUGAC